rnacentral:rRNA from 1 species
ACUAUUGGAAACGAUAGCUAAUACCGCAUAAUCUCUUCGGAGCAAAGAGGGGGACCUUCGGGCCUCUCGCGUCAGGAUUAGCCCAGGUGGGAUUAGCUUGUUGGUGAGGUAAUGGCUCACCAAGGCAACGAUCCCUAGCUGGUCUGAGAGGAUGAUCAGCCACACUGGAACUGAGACACGGUCCAGACUCCUACGGGAGGCAGCAGUGGGGAAUAUUGCACAAUGGGGGAAACCCUGAUGCAGCCAUGCCGCGUGUGUGAAGAAGGCCUUCGGGUUGUAAAGCACUUUCAGUAGGGAGGAAGGUAGUGUAGUUAACACCUGCAUUAUUUGACGUUACCUACAGAAGAAGCACCGGCUAACUCCGUGCCAGC